rnacentral:tRNA from 1 species
CAGGGAGACAACAAAAUGUUUAAUAUUAUUAUUUUGUCACUUAGGUCGAUCGGUAUCUCACGUUCUUAAUUUUAUUAAGAAUUUCAUUUCCUAAGUUUUUCUAGGUCACACCCAUUAUUUUCCUGGGCCAUUAGCUCAGGUGGUUAGAGCGCACCCCUGAUAAGGGUGAGGUCCCUGGUUCAAGUCCAGGAUGGCCCAUAUCUCUAUGUUGGGGGUAUAGCUCAGUUGGUAGAGCGCCUGCUUUGCAAGCAGGAUGUCAGCGGUUCGAGUCCGCUUACCUCCACUGAUUACCACCUCUUCCAUAAUAUUUAGAAAGGAAAAUUUUGAGUUGUGGCACAAUUCUGAACGAAUCUAGCUUCCUAAUCAAAGCAUUAAGAUGCUGGACUCAUUGAAUUAAUUUCAUUGUUUUCAGAGAACCUUGACAACUGCAUAGAUUAUUUUUAAAGACAAUAAGCAUCUUUAAUGAUGCAGAUUUAUUAUUUGUGCGAAUGCAUUAAUAACAAUUCUAUUAAGCUGAUGCUUCAA